GAUGAACGCUGGCGGCGUGCCUAAUACAUGCAAGUCGAGCGAACGGACGAGAAGCUUGCCUCUCUGAUGUUAGCGGCGGACGGGUGAGUAACACGUGGAUAACCUACCUAUAAGACUGGGAUAACUUCGGGAAACCGGAGCUAAUACCGGAUAAUAUUUUGAACCGCAUGGUUCAAAAGUAAAAGACGGUCUUGCUGUCACUUAUAGAUGGAUCCGCGCUGCAUUAGCUAGUUGGUAAGGUAACGGCUUACCAAGGCAACGAUGCAUAGCCGACCUGAGAGGGUGAUCGGCCACACGGGAACUGAGACACGGUCCAGACUCCUACGGGAGGCAGCAGUAGGGAAUCUUCCGCAAUGGGCGAAAGCCUGACGGAGCAACGCCGCGUGAGUGAUGAAGGUCUUCGGAUCGUAAAACUCUGUUAUUAGGGAAGAACAUAUGUGUAAGUAACUGUGCACAUCUUGACGGUACCUAAUCAGAAAGCCACGGCUAACUACGG
rnacentral:rRNA from 1 species